rnacentral:rRNA from 1 species
AGAGUUUGAUCCUGGCUCAGGAUGAACGCUGGCGGCAUGCCUAACACAUGCAAGUCGAACGGGGUUUAUAUGACAGAACUCUCCGGAGGGAAGAUAUAUAAACCUAGUGGCGGACGGGUGAGUAACGCGUGGGCAACCUGCCCUGUACCGGGGGACAACAGCCAGAAAUGGCUGCUAAUACCGCAUAAGCCUGCUGUGCCGCAUGGCACAGCAGGGAAAACCACGGUGGUACAGGAUGGGCCCGCGUCUGAUUAGUUAGUUGGCAGGGUAACGGCCUACCAAGACAACGAUCAGUAGCCGGCUUGAGAGAGUGGACGGCCACAUUGGGACUGAGACACGGCCCAGACUCCUGCGGGAGGCAGCAGUGGGGAAUAUUGCACAAUGGGGGGAACCCUGAUGCAGCAAUGCCGCGUGGGUGAAGAAGCACUCCGGUGCGUAAAGCCCUGUCAGCAGGGAAGAAAAUGACAGUACCUGGACAAGAAGCCCCGGCUAACUACGUGCCAGCAGCCGCGGUAAUACGUAGGGGGCAAGCGUUAUCCGGAUUUACUGGGUGUAAAGGGAGCGC